rnacentral:rRNA from 1 species
CCCUUAGAUGUCCUGGGCUGCACGCGCGCUACACUGAACAGUUCAACAAGUCUUAACCUUGGCCGAUAGGUCUGGGUAAUCUUUGAACGCUGUUCGUGAUUGGGAUAGACCUUUGCAAUUAUGGGUCUUCAACGAGGAAUUCCUAGUAAACGCAAGUCAUCAGCUUGCAUUGAUUACGUCCCUGCCCUUUGUACACACCGCCCGUCGCACCUACCGAUUGAAUGGUCCGGUGAAAUCUCGGGACGGCGGCUUGGUCGCUUGCGUCCGACUGCUGAAACUUGAUUAAACCAUAUCAUUUAGAGGAAGGUGAAGUCGUAACA